rnacentral:rRNA from 1 species
AUUGAACGCUGGCGGCAGGCUUAACACAUGCAAGUCGAGCGGAGACUUCGGUCUUAGCGGCGAACGGGUGAGUAAUACCUAGGAAUCUGCCUAUUAGUGGGGGAUAACGAAUCGAAAGGUUCGCUAAUACCGCAUACGUCCUACGGGAGAAAGGGGGGGAGUCUUCGGACCUCUCGCUAAUAGAUGAGCCUAGGCCGGAUUAGCUAGUUGGUAGGGUAAAGGCCUACCAAGGCGACGAUCUGUAGCUGGUCUGAGAGGAUGGCCAGCCACACUGGAACUGAGACACGGUCCAGACUCCUACGGGAGGCAGCAGUGGGGAAUAUUGGACAAUGGGCGCAAGCCUGAUCCAGCCAUGCCGCGUGCGGGAAGAAGGCCUCGGUUGUAACGACUUUGUCAGGAGAACGCUCGGCGUAAUACUCGGCGUAAUGACGGUACCUGAAGAAUAAGCACCGGCUAACUACGUGCCAGCAGCCGC